GCAGAUAUCAGGAGGAACACCGAUGGCGAAGGCAGAUCUCUGGGCCGCUACUGACGCUGAGGAGCGAAAGGGUGGGGAGCAAACAGGCUUAGAUACCCUGGUAGUCCACCCCGUAAACGUUGGGCGCUAGAUGUGGGGACCAUUCCACGGUUUCCGUGUCGUAGCUAACGCAUUAAGCGCCCCGCCUGGGGAGUACGGCCGCAAGGCUAAAACUCAAAGGAAUUGACGGGGGCCCGCACAAGCGGCGGAGCAUGCGGAUUAAUUCGAUGCAACGCGAAGAACCUUACCAAGGCUUGACAUAUACGAGAACGGGCCAGAAAUGGUCAACUCUUUGGACACUCGUAAACAGGUGGUGCAUGGUUGUCGUCAGCUCGUGUCGUGAGAUGUUGGGUUAAGUCCCGCAACGAGCGCAACCCUCGUUCUAUGUUGCCAGCACGUAAUGGUGGGAACUCAUGGGAUACUGCCGGGGUCAACUCGGAGGAAGGUGGGGACGACGUCAAAUCAUCAUGCCCCUUAUGUCUUGGGCUUCACGCAUGCUACAAUGGCCAGUACAAAGGGCUGCAAUACCGUAAGGUGGAGCGAAUCCCAAAAAGCUGGUCCCAGUUCGGAUUGAGGUCUGCAACUCGACCUCAUGAAGUCGGAGUCGCUAGUAAUCGCAGAUCAGCAACGCUGCGGUGAAUACGUUCCCGGGCCUUGUACACACCGCCCGUCAAGUCAUGAAAGUCGGUAACACCCGAAGCCAGUGGCCUAACCGCAAGGAUGGAGCUGUCUAAGGUGGGAUCGGUAAUUAGGACUAAGUC
rnacentral:rRNA from 1 species